GAUCCAUAUUUCUGACCCCAACUGUAUAAAUCGCAACACUAUGAAAAUAAUUGAAUGGAGCGCAUUUAGCGCCCAACUGCGAAGAGAGAGUAAACAAAAGUCUGGGGGGUUCGAUUGUCAGGCGCUUGGGGGCGAGGACAGGGGCGUCGCAAAAGGGGGUGCGGUUUGGGUGGGAAGCGGAUGUCGAACUCGCGUCAGCACACACGUGAUGCGGUGAAACAUUUCACAUUCUUCGCCUAUAAUACACACAUUUAAUUAGUCAGUCAGAAGACCAGCAUAUAGAGCGAAUACUAAGCUCGGUCACCCCCAUAGAAAUAAAUAAUGCCGAAAUGAAAACGAAAAUGGCUCUCUGCUGGGAAAUUGCCAUGUGGCCAUGGCUGACUGACUGGCCAACAAUCGCCGAAAGUCUAUUUGCCACAUACAGUGAGUAUUGUUUUGAACAUGCUGCGCAAAUUUGGGAUACUACAGAUUGGAUCUUAUUAGAAAAACAAUUUAUUGAGAAAAGAAAAUAAAUUCAACAGCGAUUUUUGCAACGUCCCAGCAAUCCAGACUUUUGGAUUUGGGUGUCCAGAUAUAAGACCUGAGCACACACACGUGUUGCUCGGCAAAAAGUCCAUCACAGACCACUGAGACACAUAGCCAAAUGUAUAUCUACUCUUGUCUUCGCCUAUGUUGCGGCUAAAUUUAAAUGGCCCAUUUAAAUUGGCUGAAAUGGCAGCGACUAAACGAAUUGCAGAGGCUUGGCGUGAAAUAUUAUUAUUGAAAUGAGCAGAUACAUAUCCGUUAGAUAGAGACGUAUUGUACAGAGCGCGGCGAUUACGACGUGUUAGUGGACACAAGUGUUAUGGGAACGCACAUAAAUCAUAGAAUGAAGCCAGAACAAACAGAAAGACACACAUAAUAUACAUGGGUUAAUAAAGAGCAGUGUUUGCAGGGGCCAAA